rnacentral:rRNA from 1 species
GAUGAACGCUGGCGGCGUGCUUAACACAUGCAAGUCGAACGGACUGAGGGAGCUUGCUCCCAAAGUUAGUGGCGGACGGGUGAGUAACGCGUGGGUAACCUGCCCUAUGCAGGGGGAUAACGUUUGGAAACGAACGCUAAUACCGCAUAACCUAGUUGGUUCGCAUGAACUGAUUAGCAAAGAUUUAUCGGCAUAGGAUGGACCCGCGUUGGAUUAGCUAGUUGGUGAGAUAAAAGCUCACCAAGGCGACGAUCCAUAGCCGGCCUGAGAGGGUGAACGGCCACACUGGGACUGAGACACGGCCCAGACUCCUACGGGAGGCAGCAGUGGGGAAUAUUGCACAAUGGGCGCAAGCCUGAUGCAGCGACGCCGCGUGAAGGAUGAAGGUUUUCGGAUCGUAAACUUCUAUCAGCAGGGAAGAAACCAAUGACGGUACCUGACUAAGAAGCCCCGGCUAACUACGUGCCAGCAGCCGCGGUAAUACGUAGGGGGCAAGCGUUAUCCGGAUUUACUGGGUGUAAAGGGUGCGUAGGUGGCAUGGCAAGUCANAUGUGAAAACUCGGGGCUCAACUUCGAGAUUGCAUCUGAAACUGCUAAGCUAGAGUGCAGGAGANGAAAGCGGAAUUCC